rnacentral:rRNA from 1 species
UACGGGGGGAGCAAGCGUUGUUCGGAUUUACUGGGCGUAAAGGGCGCGUAGGCGGCCAGCACAAGUCAGUUGUGAAAUCUCCGAGCUUAACUCGGAAAGGUCAACUGAUACUGUGCGGCUAGAGUGCGGAAGGGGCAACUGGAAUUCUUGGUGUAGCGGUGAAAUGCGUAGAGAUCGUAAGGAAGACCAGUGGCGAAGGCGGGUCUCUGGACAGUUCCUGACACUGAGGCACGAAGGCCAGGGGAGCAAACGGG